GGCCUCGGGGCGGCGGCCGCGGUGCUGGGGGCCGGGCCGGCCGAGAGGGGCUCUUGCCCUGUUCCAACCCCCGCGCUGCCCGCGGCCCGGCCCCCCCUCCGCUGCUCCCCCCGCCAUUCUCCUGACCUCUUGGGUCACCCUUUCCCCUCGACCAGCCACGCUUUCUCCUUCUCCCCACCCUUCUCUGAUUUCGGUGACUUUCCGCCCCGAGCUGCGUGCUGUCCGCGGCUCGCUGAUUCCAUCCCCCCGGCUGUGGGCCCAUUUUACAGCAGGCCAAGUGCUCCGAGGGACGCAAAGAUGAAUAAGCCGUGACCCUUCGCUCCCCGGGCUCCUGCCACGUGGAUGAAGAGGCAGGACAGAUACAGGAAAAGGUGACUGAUGAGGCGGCGCCGCUUGUUGCGGAUGAGUGAUAGGGGCCUGCGCCGCGGGAGUGCGGGCAGGAAGACGGAGGACUGCGGGGGCGGCGGCAGCUCCUCCAGCAGAGAGGGGAGCUGUGAUGGAUGCUUUCUGUCCCGUGAUACAAAACCCCAGCUCUGAGAGGUCAGGGGAUCGCCAAGAGUGACCAAGCUGCCACACCACAGGGAUUGAUUGGGACAGGGCCCAGGCCUGGUCGUCCAGCGAAGCCGCAUCCUCCUGGCUGCAUGACCUCACCAUAGUGCCUCCCAGCUGCUGGAAAUCUGGAUUUGAGCUUGAGGGGAUCAGACGCUGGGGUCACCCCGCACCACCAUAUGGAGACUGAGCGUGAGGACAGUACAGCAGAAGCAAAGCCGAGAGAUGGAGAGAAAUCAGGUGCUGACAUUACCUUUGAGCCCCUGGAGCCGGCUGUGCCUGGAAACGGAUCUGCCCCUGGACUUCUCAGUGAUAGGAGCCAAUGAAGUUCCCUUUUCGCUGAAACCA